rnacentral:lncRNA from 10 species
CUGUGCUGUCUGACUCCAGAGCCGGUGCUCAUGACGAGUGUCAGGCAUCCGCAGAGGAGCCUUCGGAAGCAGAGUGUGCUGUCCUGCACUACAGCGGGGCUUCAGGGAGAGGCCACACUUGGGCGUUGGUCUGUGUGGACGUGGAGGAAGCCACUCUGUGAAUCUGAAGAACCAUUAUUUGAGUUCUGCACCACGCAAACCAGUUCACCGAGGGAAGGCCCAGAGGCAGUAUGUUAUUCCGGGUCUUAGGCUUCUAAGGUUACACCUUCCAGUCCUGGGCACCACCUCGGAGUGAGGCCAGAGUCCAGGCCCUUCUCCCCCUUGCAGGGGCAUCUCUGAGGCCGGAGUCCAGGCCCUUCUUCCCCUGCGGGGGGCCUCUGCAACUCCCACUCGGGCCUCUUUCCUCCCAGAGAUGGGGCAGGAUAGAAACCAGCGUGUGUGCAGACGGCCAUCUUAGCUUCCAUUCAACGGCUCUGACCGAACGGGGAAGGCCAGGGUGUUACUGAUUCAGAUAACUUCUGAGAGUACAGAAGAGUUUCCUGAGGAUGGCGUGGCCAUGCUGCCUGUACGUAAAACAGGACUUGACAGUGAUCUGGACGGAGAGAAUGGGACAGGGGAGAGCUCGUGUCAUCUGAAUUCUGGUUCGCAUCCACCCUAAGGACAGCCCCCAUCAGGCGCUGUCGCCUCGGGCUUCAGGACUGUGUCUCCUUUGUCUUCGUGCUCCUCAUUCCCUGCACUUAGUACGUACUCAGCAAAUGAGGUGAAAUUCAUCUCUCCAGUGGAGUCCUCUUGUGAUGCACUGAAAAUUACAGUCAUGGACCGUCUUCCAAAACAGAGGCAUUCUACCUUCCCCCGUUUCCAUGAAAGAAGGCAUGGCUUUGAGAUGCCUGGCCAGCGCUCUUCUCAGCUGAUGGCAUGACUGGCUCCUCCAGCCAGUUAGCUUGCCUCCAUGAGAAGCAGGUUUCGUGUGUAACUAUCCAGCCAGCCACCUACCUGUUACAGCGGUGAAGCCAGCUGGGCAUCUGCUCUGCACUCUGCUGGGUGCUGGGUGCAGAGCUGACGUGAUCAGUGUCCACUGCGAACAGCAAGGAGACAGUCAGAGGCAUCGAUGCAGCCUCCACGUCGCACGUUCCCGGCUAGGUACGUACAUAGUGAUGUGACUGUAUAGAAGGCAAGUCAGAGAAAGUCUUCAAAGAAGAUGUGACAUGAGACCUGGGCCAGACGGGCGACGAGGGACAGCAUCAGCAAGGACCCCUCAGUGCCAGGCCCCCAGGCUCAGUGGGAAACAACUGCCCGUGAGAUGGGGCUGGGGCGUUGCUGGCGGCGUGUAUUGGUGUUACCUGGGAAAGUUCUUCCUCCUUCUUGGUGGCUUGGAUCAAAUAUCACUUCUGCAAGUCCCAUUACGCCCAGGCAGAAAUGGCUUUUCCCUCCUCAGGGCUCCCUUGCUGUUCUACAUGCUUCCCUUUGCGCACCUGCGACGUAACUCCUGGCUUGUGUCCAUCUCCUGGCAAGACUGGGAACCCCUUCAGGGCAGGUGGGGUCCCUGUGUUGGUCCUCUGUGCUGUGACACCAGCACAGUGCCUGGCACACACAAGAUGGCUCUGUAGGUGUCCAGCUGCUUAAUUUCACUCAGAAGGGGACAGAGAACGUCAGUCACCCAUAUUAGCCUCUGGCUCUCCUGAAGCUGGCCGACGUUCCCAGCUGUCUUUCCUUCAGAGCCUGGAGUGUGGGUAUUGUGGCAUGCAGAAUCUAGAGUGGGUACCAUGGUUGCCUCCUGCCUGUUCUGAUUUCCACUGUGUGAAGGAAGCCCGUGACCUUGGCUGAAGCAGCCUGUGCUGCUACCAGCUGGUUGGUCCGUGUCUUCCUGCUGUGGCAAAUAGGAAGAGUACCACCAUCAUCUGGGCCAGUGGUCUGGUUUUUAUUUUUAUUAGCAACAAAUGCCCUUAAGAAGCAGCUGAACAUGCUGGCUAAUUAGAGCCAGAAAGAACAGCUUAGCAGCAAGUGCACUAAAAUGGAAAUUGCACUUGGCCUCCACUCAGCGUGUGCAAGUGGUCAGCACUAAAUAGCGCCAUCUACUAGGUCUGUCCCUCCGGCUACUUGGGAGACACUCCACAGCCAGCUCCUCCUGGCAGGCUGACUGGGAUGCCAUUCUCCUGGAAGCCGGGGAUCCUGCAGGGGCCAAACCCACAUGGUUUAGUGGCCGAGGCAGGCACUUGAUAGCCUCUGCCCUGACGACAUUCCUGCCACUGCAGAAGGGCCUCUUCCGAGCUCUGUGGAGCAGAGCCUGGGGCUUGAACUGAGCCUGCACCCAUGUACGGGACUCAAGGUGCAUCUCUGGAUGGGAGAUACACGUGGCCCUCUGCAGGCAUGCCAGGGUUUGCCUCUCUGAGAAGUUUGAUGGUUCUCCUGUCCCAGGUGCCUGUUUAGUAAGCCUGGGACUCAGAGAGGGGCAGUAGUGUCCUAGGCCUGGGUCAAGGCACCCACCUGGUGGAUUGAGGAGGGCAGAGGGUCAGGCCAGGUGGCGGAUGAGGGAAGCCUGGGGGAUCCCUGCAUUGAGAGAGUGCAGGGAUUCUUGAUGGCUUGACAGUGGGGACCCUGUGACCAGGCUGAGAAUUCUGUUGAAUAAUGAAAGCAUUUGGCCCACUCUCUAAAAUGCUUAUCGAUUAUGAUCAAAAAUGAUCUUUCUUUGAGAUUAUUAUGAUCCUGUGGAGGGAGACUGUCAGGUAAGAAUUGUGAAAGACUUUGCAGUGUGCCAUAAAAAGGAUUACUGAGUGUCUCAUCUAGCGCCCUUCAGGGUUAUCUGAUUCGAUAGGGACCCGCGCUUUCCAUCGUCUUUGGGCUACUUAUCUCUGUAAAUUGUAGAAAUCUUAUAGUAGUGCACUUUGAGUAAUGCAAAUUUCUUUUCCAAAGAAAUGCAAAUAAAUGCAAAUUUUAUCCUGUAGAAUAUAAAUAUGGCUAUUGCUCUGCAGAUACUGACCCGUUUUGCAUCUAUUUAUAAAUUCAUUUUUGCACUAUC